UACAGAGGGGGCAAGCGUUGUUCGGAAUUACUGGCGUAAAGGGCGCGUAGGUGGCCUUCUAAGUUGAACGUGAAAUCCCUGGGCUCAACCCAGGAACUGCGUCCAAGACUGGGAGGCUUGAAUCCGGGAGAGGGAUGCGGAAUUCCAGGUGUAGCGGUGAAAUGCGUAGAUAUCUGGAGGAACACCGGUGGCGAAGGCGGCAUCCUGGACCGGUAUUGACGCGUGACGGCGACGCAAAGGCCAGGGGAGCCAAAGCGGG
rnacentral:rRNA from 1 species